UACAGAGGGUGCAAGCGUUAAUCGGAAUUACUGGGCGUAAAGCGUGCGUAGGUGGCUUGACAAGUCGGGUGUGAAAUCCCCGGGCUUAACCCGGGAACUGCAUUCGAUACUAUCAAGCUUGGAGUCUGGUAGAGGGUAGUGGAAUUCCGGGUGUAGCAGUGAAAUGCGUAGAUAUCCGGAGGAACACCAGUGGCGAAGGCGGCUACCUGGACCAAGACUGACGCUGAGGCACGAAAGCGUGGGGAGCAAACAGG
rnacentral:rRNA from 1 species